rnacentral:sRNA from 1 species
GUAUCUGAAGUCUGACGAGGAUGAGAACCUCCGGGGGCAAGAGGUUCGACCCGAGCGAAGCGAGAGAACGUUGCGUCAGCAACGGCCCGCAGGGCGAGCCAUCCUCUAUCACCGGCAG